rnacentral:rRNA from 1 species
UGCGGUAGGGGAGAUUGGAAUUCCUGGUGUAGCGGUGGAAUGCGCAGAUAUCAGGAGGAACACCGAUGGCGAAGGCAGAUCUCUGGGCCGUAACUGACGCUGAGGAGCGAAAGGGUGGGGAGCAAACAGGCUUAGAUACCCUGGUAGUCCACCCCGUAAACGUUGGGAACUAGUUGUGGGGUCCAUUCCACGGAUUCCGUGACGCAGCUAACGCAUUAAGUUCCCCGCCUGGGGAGUACGGCCGCAAGGCUAAAACUCAAAGGAAUUGACGGGGACCCGCACAAGCGGCGGAGCAUGCGGAUUAAUUCGAUGCAACGCGAAGAACCUUACCAAGGCUUGACAUAUACGAGAACGCUGCAGAAAUGUAGAACUCUUUGGACACUCGUAAACAGGUGGUGCAUGGUUGUCGUCAGCUCGUGUCGUGAGAUGUUGGGUUAAGUCCCGCAACGAGCGCAACCCUCGUUCUAUGUUGCCAGCACGUAAUGGUGGGAACUCAUGGGAUACUGCCGGGGUCAACUCGGAGGAAGGUGGGGAUGACGUCAAAUCAUCAUGCCCCUUAUGUCUUGGGCUUCACGCAUGCUACAAUGGCCGGUACAAAGGGCUGCAAUACCGUAAGGUGGAGCGAAUCCCAAAAAGCCGGUCCCAGUUCGGAUUGAGGUCUGCAACUCGACCUCAUGAAGUCGGAGUCGCUAGUAAUCGCAGAUCAGCAACGCUGCGGUGAAUACGUUCCCGGGUCUUGUACACACCGCCCGUCAAGUCAUGAAAGUCGGUAACACCUGAAGCCGGUGGCCCAACCCUUGUGGAGGGAGCCGUCGAAGGUGGGAUCGGUAAUUAGGACUAAGUCGUAACAAGGUAGCCGUACCCGGAAAGGUGCGGCUGGAUCAC